rnacentral:rRNA from 1 species
GUGAGGAAUAUUGGUCAAUGGACGGAAGUCUGAACCAGCCAUGCCGCGUGAAGGAUGAAGGCGUUCUGCGUUGUAAACUUCUUUUAUUUAGGAAGAAACCACCGAUUUCUAUUGGUGUUGACGGUAUUAAAUGAAUAAGCACCGGCUAACUCCGUGCCAGCAGCCGCGGUAAUACGGAGGGUGCGAGCGUUAUCCGGAUUUACUGGGUUUAAAGGGUGCGCAGGCGGUCUUAUAAGUCCGGGGUGAAAUACUACAGCUCAACUGUAGAACUGCCUUGGAUACUAUAGGACUUGAAUCGAGUAUAGGUCAGCGGAAUACAACAUGUAGCGGUGAAAUGCAUAGAUAUGUUGUGGAACACCGAUUGCGAAGGCAGCUGACUGGGCUUGAAUUGACGCUCAGGCACGAAAGCGUGGGUAGCGAACAGGAUUAGAAACCCGAGUAGUCC